GGGCCCUUAGCGCAGCAGUAGCGCGUUUCGUUCGCAACGAAAAGGUCGCGGGUGCGAAUCCCGCAGGGUCCA
rnacentral:tRNA from 1 species